rnacentral:rRNA from 1 species
UACGGAGGGGGCUAGCGUUGUUCGGAAUCACUGGGCGUAAAGCGCACGUAGGCGGCUUUCUAAGUCAGGGGUGAAAUCCUGGAGCUCAACUCCGGAACUGCCUUUGAUACUGGAAAGCUUGAGUUCGGGAGAGGUGAGUGGAACUGCGAGUGUAGAGGUGAAAUUCGUAGAUAUUCGCAAGAACACCAGUGGCGAAGGCGGCUCACUGGCCCGAUACUGACGCUGAGGUGCGAAAGCGUGGGGAGCAAACAGG